GCGGGGGGGAGGAAUCAAUUCCCUUUCUUCCCCUAAAAAAGAACGAUGGUUUGAGUUCGUUCUCCUCAACUGCCCGAAUGCAUACAUGGAGCAAUUAUAGUGGUAGAAAUUGAAAGGAAAUCGUAGAGGAAGGCUGGAUUGCCUCCACCCCUUUAACGAGAGCAAAAUGGAAUCGUCUACUCGUAAACUGUACAGAAACACCUGGUUUAUGUCACCAUCAAGGAAUGGUAUAACCCACCGAGCACCGCUACAUCAGCGUUGUACUGCUCACGUGAUCCUCUGCAAAAAAAAAAAAAAAAAAGUGGAAGGGGAGUGUCCGUGAUUCGAGGACGGAAGGUUUUGCUUCAAAUGGCUUGCUUUAUGGUGACGGGAGGAACAGAAAGCCCCCGAGGUCUCCUGCCCUUGACGGUCCCGUUGAGCCGUCCUUGUGGACUGUGUGCUUCCUUCUCCCCCGGAGGAGGAGGCCUAGCGCCUGUCCUGCUGGAGGGAUCCUGUGGAGCCGGCUCGCUGCCUCGUGCAAGGCGUGCAGGACUGGAUGAAGCUGGGAUCGGAUCCAGCAUGGCUUUUCAUGUGUUCUAGCUCUUGCAAACUCACGGUGGUGGCCUCCUUUAGGGACUCAAUCUGUCUGACGGCUGGUGUUCCUCGUCUUUUUUGGCCCUUUAUGCCCCUAGCAUGAUUGUUACCCCCACUGAGCCUUGCCUUCUCACGAGGUGUGCAAAGUUGGACAGCUUCAGUUCCUCAUUGUUGCUUCCAGGGCAUGUCCUGGCCUGAUUUGAUCUGGAGUCCACUUGUUCAUCUUUCUAUCAGUAUCCACAAAGCUCUUCCUGGCACCCGGAUCACACCCCUUGUCUUCUCAUCGGUUUCCUUCACUGUCCAGCAUUCACACCCAGACAGGAUGAUGGGGAACACAAUAUUGUGGACAAUCUUGGCCUCAGGCUCCAGUAAAAGAGGGCCAUCAAGGAUGCUUAUCCCUGGCAGUCUGCGCAAGCAGUCAAGCGGCUCUGCCUGCGUUCUAUGGGAGAGGAUCAGGAUUAGCGGAUGGUUUAGGUGCCUUCCAGACUUUGGGACUACUAGAAGCUUCAGCCAGCAAGACCAAUGGCCAAGCAUUCCGGGAACUGUAUUCCCUGGCAUUCUGGAACUUUGAAACUCUCUCAGCAAAGUGCUUUAUAAACCACAACAUUAUUCAGACUCCGCUGAGAAUCUGGUAGCAAUUCUAUAUUUUAGAAAUCAGGAGGGGGCAGAAAGUAGAUCUGCAAAUGUCUGUGACAUCUGCUCCCAGAAGCCCUUGUGAUUCAGGGACUACUAAGUCAUGCACAUGUCCAAUGUUUUACAGUAAGUUUAUUAGCAUGCCAGAGAAAAUUGAUCCAGCCAAUAUUGAUCUUUGUCGUGGUCAUUCAGAGAUAACAUUCUUUCUAAUAGGGCUGGAGGAGUUAAUUAUCAACCUUCUGCAUACCUGGGCAAUGUUUUUCAGUAAUUUUAAAAAUUAGAUCUAAGAUGCUUGCAAAUACUGGUCCUCGAUUCUGCCCAUUUAACGUUUCCGAUGUUACCCUGUCUGGCUGCCCAUCACCCCACAAACUAGGAGGACGAUGGGCAUCCUAUUAAAGGAAGAAGGGCACAUGGAGGCUGAGGUUGUCUUGGCGUUCCUUCAUCCCACAAAAGAUAGUGGAAGAAUCAAAACGAGGAUUUGCCCCCAAACAUCCAUUCUUUCCAACUCAUGCAAAGUUUCUUCUGUCAGCAGUACAGGUGAAGGACAGGGCAGGAAGGAAUAUGAUGAAUGAAUUCCCUACUUCUGGGCUUGCUGGACUAGUAGUCCGGCCAAAGUGGCUAAAGAUGUUGAAACAAAAACGUUUGGGUGCAGUCCUGUGUUUAUUAUUAUUAUGCAGACGAAGCCCAUCAGAUCCCAGAGUUCCCAGUCCAAACAUGCAUGCCCAGGCCAUUGGUCUAUAUAAGCGUAUUACUUAUUUUUAUAUGGGGGGGGUGUCUGUGUUCCAUAUGCAGAUGUUCUGGGUAACAAAGGCUAUGCAUGUUCUAUGCUUCUUUAUCUGGUAUUUAUUGUAUUUUAAUGCUACUCUCCCUUUGAAUUAAUCUGAAUUGUGGCUGCCAUGGGGGUUUUAUUGCGAGGUUUUUAUUGUGUGCUACUAUUGUUAUUGUAUUGCUUCAUAUUUAUGUAGAUUUAAUCGUACUGUUUUAUUGCAUAUGUUGAUAUUAUGUUUCGUUAACUGCCCAGAGAGCCAUAUUGCCACGCCAUAAGUGAGGUUUCUUGUGGCAGCUGCUGCCUGUGGGAAGCGUGGAAUAAGAUGGUGAUGCCACAUUUCUUCAGCACUAGAAAAGUAAAAGGGAAGGGUUGGAGGGUACAUGUGCUGGAUGCAGAAGGGCUAGGAAGAGCCAGCUGAAAUUCUACAGAGCUGCUUGGCAGGUGGGCCAAUAACUGAACUUGGUUAAAAGCAUCUUCCUGCACGUAUUCCCAGCUGACCUUCUUUACGGCCAAUGAAAUUUCUACAAAAAUGUGCAAGCUUUCAAAUUCUUCAGAACACUUCAUCAGGCUGUGUAUCAUCUAGCCUGAUGAAAUGUUAUGUAAACUCACACGUUUACAUAAUUUUAUGGAUUUUUUGGUUGGCUUUAAUAAAGGGAUUGCUUCAG